ACAAAACCCCAAGCAGACUAUGAAAGGAUGUUCUUAGAUCGGGGAUGGCAAAUGGAUUUUGUCUUCAGUGACCAUUGCAACUGGCAGGUGUCCAGCGAAAAGGGCUAAGAUUACUACUGGGCAGGGAGGAAAGUGUUGGUAUCCUUCCCAGGCAUUAUUCUACAGUGCAUGUGUAGAAAAAUCUCAUCUCCAGCGCUUACAAUCAGUAUUUUCAUAAAAGAAAUCAUCAUGACAGUGUAUGUCAAGAAGAGUCAUGCGUGAUUUGAAAUUCUAUAGAUAUCUUCCUUCAGAAUCGUAACAAUAAUAAUGACAAUAAA